rnacentral:rRNA from 1 species
AUGAAGCUGCUGCCGUUCAAGGUGGUGGACAAGAACGGCAAGCCGCACCUCGAGGUUGAGGUGAAGGCCGGCGACGUGCGGACGCUCAGCCCGGAGGAGGUGAGCGCGAUGGUGCUCACGAGGAUGAAGGAGACAGCCGAGGCGUAUCUAGGCGAGAAGGUCCGGGACGCCGUGAUCACCAUCCCGGCCUACUUCAACGACGCGCAGCGCCAGGCCACCAAGGACGCCGGCGCCAUCGCCGGCCUCAACGUCGUUCGCCUCAUCAACGAGCCCACUGCCGCCGCCAUCGCCUACGGCCUCGACAAGGUGGCCGACGGGAAGGAGCGGAACGUGCUGGUGUUUGACCUCGGCGGCGGUACCUUCGACGUGAGCGUGCUCGCGCUCGACGGUGGCGUCUUCGAGGUCCUCGCCACCAACGGCGACACCCAUCUCGGCGGCGAGGACUUCGACCAGCGCGUCAUGGACCACUUCAUCCGGCUCGUCAAGCGGAAGCACGGCGUCGACAUCUCCGGCGACGCGCGCGCGCUCGGCAAGCUCCGCCGCGAGUGCGAGCGCGCCACGUGGUUCUGGUCGAGGCUGUCGAUGUCGAAGUACCCCUCUUAA